GUCCCAGUAGCUCAGUUGGAUAGAGCACGAGCCUCCUAAGCCCGGGGUCGCACGUUCGAGUCGUGUCUGGGACG
rnacentral:tRNA from 1 species